GAAGGGCAAAACGCCAAGACGACCGCAGUCGCAUUCGCGACAUACCGAUCUGGUUACGACCGAUCGAAGGAUAUUCGGCUUGCCACCGUUUAUCAUACAUCCCGAUGCAUACGUCCGACCAAGGGCCGGACAAUGGAUAUUCGACUUGCCAUCGUUAUCCUAUCCGAAUACGUCGGACGCUACUCGACUAUCAGAUUCUGC
rnacentral:lncRNA from 1 species